CAGUAGCCGCGGGAAAACGAAGGGGGCUAGCGUUGCUCGGAAUGACUGGGCGUAAAGGGCGCGUAGGCGGCUGACACAGUCAGAUGUGAAAUUCCUGGGCUCAACCUGGGGACUGCAUUUGAGACGUGUUGGCUUGAGUGGAGAAGAGGGUCGUGGAAUUUCCAGUGUAGAGGUGAAAUUCGUAGAUAUUGGGAAGAACACCAGUGGCGAAGGCGGCUCUCUGGACCGAUACUGACGCUGAGGCGCGAAAGCGUGGGGAGCAAACAGGAUUAGAGACCCCUGUAGUCCCUGUCUCUUUACA
rnacentral:rRNA from 1 species